UACGUAGGGCGCAAGCGUUGUCCGGAAUUAUUGGGCGUAAAGAGCUCGUAGGCGGCUUGUCACGUCGGGUGUGAAAGCCCGGGGCUUAACCCCGGGUCUGCAUUCGAUACGGGCUAGCUAGAGUGUGGUAGGGGAGAUCGGAAUUCCUGGUGUAGCGGUGAAAUGCGCAGAUAUCAGGAGGAACACCGGUGGCGAAGGCGGGUCUCUGGGCCGAUACUGACGCUGAGGAGCGAAAGCGUGGGGAGCGAACGGG
rnacentral:rRNA from 1 species